rnacentral:snRNA from 1 species
GAAGAUUAGCAUGGCCCCUGCGCAAGGAUGACACGCAAAAAUCGUGAAGCGUUCCUUAUUUUU